rnacentral:tRNA from 1 species
GUCCGAGUAGCUCAGCUGGAUAGAGCAACAGCCUUCUAAGCUGUGGGUCGUAGGUUCAAGUCCUGCCUCGGACGCCA